GGACCAUCCUCCAAGGCUAAAUACUCCUGACUGACCGAUAGUGAACCAGUACCGUGAGGGAAAGGCGAAAAGAACCCCGGCGAGGGGAGUGAAAGAGAACCUGAAACCGUGUACGUACAAGCAGUGGGAGCCCUGAUUUAUCAGGGUGACUGCGUACCUUUUGUAUAAUGGGUCAGCGACUUAUAUUCUGUAGCAAGGUUAACCGAAUAGGGGAGCCGCAGGGAAAC
rnacentral:rRNA from 1 species